rnacentral:rRNA from 1 species
AGUGAACGCUGGCGGUAGGCCUAACACAUGCAAGUCGAACGGCAGCACAGUAAGAGCUUGCUCUUACGGGUGGCGAGUGGCGGACGGGUGAGGAAUACAUCGGAAUCUACUUUUUCGUGGGGGAUAACGUAGGGAAACUUACGCUAAUACCGCAUACGACCUACGGGUGAAAGCAGGGGAUCUUCGGACCUUGCGCGAUUGAAUGAGCCGAUGUCGGAUUAGCUAGUUGGCGGGGUAAAGGCCCACCAAGGCGACGAUCCGUAGCUGGUCUGAGAGGAUGAUCAGCCACACUGGAACUGAGACACGGUCCAGACUCCUACGGGAGGCAGCAGUGGGGAAUAUUGGACAAUGGGCGCAAGCCUGAUCCAGCCAUACCGCGUGGGUGAAGAAGGCCUUCGGGUUGUAAAGCCCUUUCGUUGGGAAAGAAAAGCAGCAGGUUAAUACCCCGCUGUUCUGGCGGUACCCAAAGAAUAAGCACCGGCUAACUUCGUG